rnacentral:rRNA from 1 species
CCUACGGGUGGCAGCAGUGAGGAAUAUUGGUCAAUGGGCGCGAGCCUGAACCAGCCAAGUCGCGUGAGGGAAGACGGUCCUAUGGAUUGUAAACCUUUUUUGUCGGGGAGCAAAAGACGCCACGCGUGGCGUUCCGAGAGUACCCGAAGAAAAAGCAUCGGCUAACUCCGUGCCAGCAGCCGCGGUAAUACGGAGGAUGCGAGCGUUAUCCGGAUUUAUUGGGUUUAAAGGGUGCGCAGGCGGAAGGUCAAGUCAGCGGUAAAAUUGAGAGGCUCAACCUCUUCGAGCCGUUGAAACUGGUUGUCUUGAGUGAGUGAGAAGUAUGCGGAAUGCGUGGUGUAGCGGUGAAAUGCAUAGAUAUCACGCAGAACUCCGAUUGCGAAGGCAGCAUACCGGCGCUCCACUGACGCUCAUGCACGAAAGUGUGGGUAUCGAACAGGAUUAGAUACCCCAGUAGUC